rnacentral:lncRNA from 1 species
AUUUGCAUAAAUUCAAAUGAAAAGUCUAAUGUGAUUAGUAUUUCAAGGAACACUGUGUAUUGUUUAGCAGUUUAGCAACCAAGAAUUUGCAAAUUUAUAAUCCAUCUCCAUGUGGAUGAAUGACAAAUCUCUAAUUAAAAAUGAAAGAAUUUUGGAAAAACUCCAUGUGCCACCACUGAAGUUGGAUUAUAUUUAAUAUCCCCUAUAUUUAGUUCCAGUGACAUAAUAUUUGUUUUUUGCUCUUUCAGCUACUAAAAGUCCUGAAAAUUUAAUGAGAGCCUUCAAGGAUCCCUUUGAGAUGCAACAAGUAGUAAUUUUAGGAGAACAAAGAGAAAUGCUGAACAGCUGCUGGUACUUGCCUUUCUCUGGAAAACUGUCACACACAAAGGAACAAACCCGCAUUAACAGUGCCGCCCUGCUGGCCUGGCUCUGUCCCUAG